GACGAACGCUGGCGGCGUGCUUAACACAUGCAAGUCGAACGGACAGGCCCUGCUUUUGUGGGGUGCUCGAGUGGCGAACGGGGGAGUAACACGUGAGUAACCUGCCCUUGUCUGUGGGAUAACUUCAGGAAACUGGGGCUCUUACCGGAUAGGAGCUCCUGCUGCAUGGUGGGGGAUGGAAAGUUUCGGCGGUUGGGGAUGGACUCGCGGGUUAUCAGCUUGUUGGUGGGGUAGUGGCUGACCAAGGCUUUGACGGGUAGCCGGCCUGAGAGGGUGACCGGCCACAUUGGGACUGAGAUACGGACCAGACUCCUACGGGACGCAGCAGUGGAGAAUAUGGCACAAUGGGCGGAAGCCUGAUGCAGCAACGCCGCGUGCGGGAUGACGUGCUUCGGGUUGUAAACCGCUUUCGCCUGUGACGAAGCGUGAGUGACGGUAAUGGGUAAAGAAGCACCGGCUAACUACGUG
rnacentral:rRNA from 1 species